rnacentral:rRNA from 1 species
ACCGGGGCUAAUACCGAAUGAUAGAAUGUGGCGCAUGCCACGCUUUUGAAAGAUGGUUUCGGCUAUCGCUUACAGAUGGGCCCGCGGUGCAUUAGCUAGUUGGUAGGGUAAUGGCCUACCAAGGCAACGAUGCAUAGCCGACCUGAGAGGGUGAUCGGCCACACUGGGACUGAGACACGGCCCAGACUCCUACGGGAGGCAGCAGUAGGGAAUCUUCCGCAAUGGACGAAAGUCUGACGGAGCAACGCCGCGUGUAUGAAGAAGGUUUUCGGAUCGUAAAGUACUGUUGUUAGAGAAGAACAAGGAUAAGAGUAACUGCUUGUCCCUUGACGGUAUCUAACCAGAAAGCCACGGCUAACUACGUGCCAGCAGCCGCUGUAAAACGUAGGUGGUAAGCGUUGUC